UGGGGAAUAUUGCACAAUGGGGGAAACCCUGAUGCAGCCAUGCCGCGUGUGUGAAGAAGGCCUUCGGGUUGUAAAGCACUUUCAGUAGGGAGGAAAGGUAGCAGCUUAAUACGCUGUUGCUGUGACGUUACCUACAGAAGAAGGACCGGCUAACUCCGUGCCAGCAGCCGCGGUAAUACGGAGGGUCCGAGCGUUAAUCGGAAUUACUGGGCGUAAAGCGUGCGCAGGCGGUUUGUUAAGCGAGAUGUGAAAGCCCCGGGCUCAACCUGGGAAUUGCAUUUCGAACUGGCGAACUAGAGUCUUGUAGAGGGGGGUAGAAUUCCAGGUGUAGCGGUGAAAUGCGUAGAGAUCUGGAGGAAUACCGGUGGCGAAGGCGGCCCCCUGGACAAAGACUGACGCUCAGGCACGAAAGCGUGGGGAGCAAACAGGAUUAGAUACCCUGGUAGUCCACGCCGUAAACGAUGUCUACUCGGAGUUUGGUGUCUUGAACACUGGGCUCUCAAGCUAACGCAUUAAGUAGACCGCCUGGGGAGUACGGCCGCAAGGUUA
rnacentral:rRNA from 1 species